ensembl:lncRNA
AUUUGCGAAGAGAAAACGCGUGAUUUUCGCUUAAAUGGGGGAUUUGCGAGGAGAAAACGCGUGAUUUUCGCUUAAAUGGGGGAUUUGCAAAGAGAAAACGCGUGAUUUUCGGGUUAAAUGGGGGAUUUGCGAAGAGAAAACGCGUGAUUUUCGGAUAAAUGGCGGAUUUGCGAAGAGAAAACGCGUGAUUUUCGCUUAAAUGGGGGAUUUGCGAAGAGAAAAUGCGUGAUUUUCGGUUGAAUACGGGAUUUGCAAAGAGAAAACGCGAGAUUUUCGGGUUAAAUGGGGGAUUUGCGAAGAGAAAACACGUGAUUUUCGGGUUAAAUUGGGGAUUUGCGAAGAGAAAACGCGAGAUUUUCGCUUAAAUGUGGGAUUUCUGAAGAGAAAACGCGUGAUUUUCGCUUAAAUGGGGGAUUUGCGAAGAGAAAACGCGUGAUUUUCGCUUAAAUGGGGGAUUUGCAAAGGGAAAACGCGUGAUUUUCUCUUAAAUGGGGGAUUUGCAAAGAGAAUAUGCGUGAUUUUUGGUUAAAUGGGGGAUUUCCAAUGAGAAAAUGCAUGAUUUUCGCUUAAAUGGGGGAUUUGCAAAGAGAAAACGCGUGGUUUUCGCUUAAAUGGGGGAUUCUUGAAGAGAAAACAAGUGAUUUUCGGGUUAAAUGGGGGAUUUGCGAAGAGAAAACGCGUGAUUUUCGCUUAAAUGGGGGAUUGGCUAAGAGAAAACGCGUGAUUUUCGCUUAAAUGGGGAUUU